rnacentral:rRNA from 1 species
AGUGAACGCUGGCGGCGUGCCUAAUACAUGCAAGUCGAACGGACAAGUAAGAGCUUGCUCUUAUGAGUUAGUGGCGCACGGGUGAGUAAUGUAUAGCUAAUCUGCCCUACACUAGAGGACAACAGUUGGAAACGACUGCUAAUACUCUAUACUCCUCUCUAGCAUAAGUUAGAUAGGGAAAGUUUUCGGUGUAGGAUGAGGCUAUAUUGUAUCAGCUAGUUGGUGAGGUAAUGGCUCACCAAGGCUAUGACGCAUAACUGGUCUGAGAGGAUGAUCAGUCACACUGGAACUGAGACACGGUCCAGACUCCUACGGGAGGCAGCAGUAGGGAAUAUUGCUCAAUGGGGGAAACCCUGAAGCAGCAACGCCGCGUGGAGGAUGACACUUUUCGGAGCGUAAACUCCUUUUGUUAGGGAAGAACAAUGACGGUACCUAACGAAUAAGCACCGGCUAACUCCGUGCCAGCAGCCGCGGUAAUACGGAGGGUGCAAGCGUUACUCGGAAUCACUGGGCGUAAAGGACGCGUAGGCGGAUUAUCAAGUCUCUUGUGAAAUCCUAUGGCUUAACCAUAGAACUGCUUGGGAAACUGAUAAUCUAGAGUGAGGGAGAGGCAGAUGGAAUUGGUGGUGUAGGGGUAAAAUCCGUAGAGAUCACCAGGAAUACCCAUUGCGAAGGCGAUCUGCUGGAACUCAACUGACGCUAAUGCGUGAAAGCGUGGGGAGCAAACAGG